rnacentral:tRNA from 1 species
GAUUCGGUGGCGCAACGGUAGCGCGUCUGACUCCAGAUCAGAAGGUUGCGUGUUCAAAUCACGUCCGGGUAA